GUGAAUUAAGCGGUCUGUGUUGAGCGACAUGAAUUCCUUUACUGCGUGGCGUUCCAAAGGCGAUUCUCACCCGGGUGUCGCCUGUGCUGUGGCUCUCCUCUAUGCCCAAGAAACAGGUCUGCAUCCAGGCUUGGUGGGAAUUUCCACUACAGAAAGAGAAUCAAAUACCCCAGCCACUAUGCCAUGAAAUGCAACCUCUGGCUUCGCAACCUCUGUGAGUUGCUGAAUUCUUCCUUCCAAGUUGCUCGCCAACUACCAGACUCUCUGCGCAAGAUCAGCCAUCGCCAUUGUUCUCGUCUCUGAAAAUUGUUCUGUCAAUGAAAUGAUCUACCAUGAAGGACAUCUGUGGAAACACAGUCUGUGACGAGAGCCCAUGAAUAAUUUCCACGUGCUCCUGCCAGUCUUUUAAGCUGCGCGUCCUUGAGUCACAGAGACAUGGCUGGGCAGCUGAAAGUGUCACCGAGUAUUCCGUGGACACCACAGUUCACUCAAGUGUUAACUGCUCACAAGGAUACACAGCCAGCCUCCCCCAAACAUGAGGCGAUCCAACUGUGUUCUUCCCAUGAGAAGCCAAAGGCAUCUCUCCCCAAGCACAAAGUAGUAAAGAGCCCUGGAUGCCUGGUUCCUAUUCCUGGGAGCGUAUGCAAUUACUCUGUCACCCUGGUGGCCAACGCUGACUGUCCUAUCAGCAUGACUCCUGAUUAUCAGCUCCCCAUCUGCAUGAAAGUAAAAGCCAGCUCAUCCUAUUAACCGGCUCCGAAUCCUCCACUGGCUUCCCCUUUCACUAGAAUAAAACCCUAAAUCUUUACAAUGACCUGACAACAUAAUUCUCCCCCGUUCCCUCCGCCGAAACUGCUGUUAUUUUGCCGGCUUUGUGCAUUACUCAUCCUCUCUAGACCAGUUUGCUAGGGCUGCCGUAACAAAAUACUCCAGAAUGGGUGAUGGAAACAACAGAAACUUAUUUUCCCACAGUCAUGGACGCUCACGGUGUCACCGGAUUUAGUUUCUUCCGAAAUGUCUCUCCUUAGCUUGAACGUGGCCAUCUUUUCACUGUGUCCUCACAUGGUCUUUCCUCUGGUGUCUCUCUGUGUCCAAAUAUCCUCUUUUAAUAAGGACACCAGUCAGACAGGAUUAGGGCUCACACCUUCAUUUUAACAUAGUCAUCUCUUUAAAAGGAUCUAUCUUCAAACACAGUCAUAUUCUCACAUACCAGGGGUUAAGACUCCAGCACAUGAAAUCAGAGGGGACAGGAUUCAGCCCAUGGCACCCUUGAUCAUUCUGCUGCAGCCAACCUGACUUUCCGCAAGUCAUUCAAACAUACCCUUGCCUUUACGCCAUCUAUUCCUUACCUCUCACACACUGCAAAUCCAAUAAAGUCUGCCCCGCUCUUUAAGGAUGCGCCUGCAACCUAACAGACAUUUCAACCCUUGGCUAGAACACUAUAAGAUUUAUCCUAAGUUUCUUUUGGUCUCCUAGUUUCUCACUUUUUCAAUUUGUUCCCCUUUGCCUCCUUAAGUCUUCACUCUACUGCCUUCACAGGUAUUGUCGUUAGGGUUGGACUUCCCUUGCGGCAAUCAAGCUAAUCACAUGGGUGAUUUUCAUUGUCACUGUGGCAUGUCCCCCCUAUAUAGACUGUGUUGACUUAUCCAAUCCAGAGAAGUACAGUGGAUACCAGGUUACGAGCCAGGCACUGCUGGUGUCUAGGAACACACGGGAAAACCUUAAGGUUAGGAUUAAGGAGGAGUAACAAAUUCGGCAGCAGUAUACUCAGAGCACUAACAGAGCCCAGAGGAGCAACAUCUAAAGGACUAGGUAUCAGGAAGGCUUUUGGAAAGAGAUGCCAAUAGAGCUGAAGUUUUAAAAAUAAAUACGAGUUAGCCAUGCAUAUAAUGGAGAAGAGAGUUUUCUAGGCUGUGUUAGCAUCAUGGGUGAAAUUGCAGAAGCAUGAAAAAGCACGCUAUGGACAGAGGAAAGGACAUGCUGAGAGGUGUGAGAUGAUCAGGCUUGACUGAGAUGGGGGCCAAAGAAUCAAAAUCAUACCAUAAACUUGAAAGCUCUGGAGAGCAGUAACAAAUUCUUAGCAAGGAAAUAAGCUGAUCAGCUCUCUAAGUUAGGAAGGUAGCCAUCACAGAAGAGGGCGACUUCUAAGAGCUGGUUCUGGACCGAGAAGCCCAGUUAGGAAGUUACUGAAGUAAAUGUGCUGUGAAGACGAAAGAACCAGCAUCAAGUCAGAGGCAACACAAAUGGAAUGGGAUGUGUGGCUGCAAGUUAAGGAAGUGGGAUCUACAGGGUUGGUGUUGGGUGAAGACACAGGAGUUGAACAGGAAGAAAAAUCUAGAACAACUCCCAGCUUUCUGUAUUUGGCAAUGAAAGAGAUGAUGCUAUUUUUCAUCAUGCAAAGGAAGAGAAACCAACUGAAUUGCAGACAUAUGGAGUGAAAUCUCUGGAAGAGAUGUCUCUUAGCUGCAUUUAUAAUUUCUGUAAGCAGCAGUGAGAGUGUGUAGCUGGGUAUGGAAAGUCUCGGUUGGCGGAGGCCUACCUAGCUGCCUUGCUCUCCUUGCAGGAGUUCCACUCUUCUAACCACACCAUGGACUCCGAAGAAAAAGGAAAAGUGCUAGAGUUGCUUUUAUAAGAGACCAAAAAGAUACAGUUGUGCCUCCACAACCCCUCUCCCAGAAUGCAGCCUCUCCUAAUGUGAGGCAGCCCCUGGGUCCCAAAAUGUGGGUGGGUGACUCAAGUGUGACCUGGCAUAAACAUUGACCCCACUAGAGUGACCACACAGUAGCCUCCUGAUCUCUACUGUGAAACAAAAUAUAGCGAUGAAUGCAAAAGUAUAAUGCUUGACAGGUAACUAAGAGUUUUGUUGUUAUUUUUUAACCUCAAAAAUCUAGUGAAGUAGGCAAAAGAGACACUAUUUUCUGGUUUUCAUUUUACUUCUGAGGAAGCUGAGAACUAAAGAGAUUAAGUGACGUAGCCAGGGUUAUAUUUAGUCUGCAGUGAACAAAAUUAAGUCUUCUGCCUCUUAAUUCUGCUCUUUUUCCAAGACACCACACAAGUUCCCCCAACUGAGCACACUCACAAAGGACAUGUAAUCUGCUCCCCAGGUGAACAGUAAUAGCAAUUUAAUCUUCUAAGCAAUCAACCCAGGCUUUUCACUUACCAGUGACAUUGCAAGUGGAAACUAUAGAACCUGAAACUCUACCUUUCACAUUUCUGUAUCGAUCCUCUUUGAUGGUUAGUGAUAUGAGGGGAUACAUCCUACAGCUAGUGUUUCACAACCAAGCCCUUCAAGGCAGAGUAACCCACAACACAGAAAGUGCUAAGUUCCCUUCUUGGCUCUGAAGGGUCAUUAAUCUUGACCUUUCUUUUCUGUCCAGCUGCUUAAAAGAAUGGGCUUUCGCUGUAAUAAUUACCAUCGUGAUUAUUUCAUCGGUUUAUUAAGAAUCUCCUAAGUUCCAAUGUGGUCUGGAAUAUUUACCGAGAUAAUUUUCUUAUAGGUACUAAGUGAUUAGUGUCAUAAAUUGCCAUCUGCUAAACACUAAUAUCUCAGAAGUUGUAAUUCCCUGUCAGGUUCACUAUUGUAGCAACAUAAAUCAUCAAGCUGUGACCUUUUAGAAAGUUAAAAAUAUAACAUAUAUAUGAUUAAUCCUGCUUUAAUUACUUUCUUUUGACUUUUGUGGUUUCUCAGGGAUGCAAUUUGCAGAGUUUACGUAAAUGUUUUUAUUUCAUGUGAUAAAUUAAGACACGAAUCUUUUGUAAAAGGGAGAAAGGAGAGUAAUUUGAUUCUUUACAGAAAUGGCAAUGUAGUGGAGACAGCUUGAAAAGUUUUAUCUUUAUCUACUAAAAAUUCUAGGCUGAACGAGUAAAAUUACCUCCUCUCUCUAAACGCUUUUAUCCUAGUAGUAUUACAUAAUUAUCCACAAAAGGGUGUGUCACAUUACACAAUCAUUCCCCUUCUCUUAGCUGGAGAUUUUGAAGAUAAAUAGAUGAGAAAUGAUGUUGCUCAAAAGAGACAGCCAAAAUUCAUCCAGACAAGCUCCCCCUUGCACUGGUCUCUCUUUUAGUCAAUGAAGCUAUACGUUUUCAUUUAAAAAAAUAAAUAAAUGAAAUCUUAACUUCUCCAUCCCUUUUGACGUGGCGCUGGAGGUCCUUUGUGCAUUCUCCAACCUCAAAUACUUCCACUUUCUCCAACUACACUCUCAGUUCAUUGACCACCCCAAGCUUAUUCAGUGUACCUCAGGGCCUUUGCACAUGCAGAUCAUUCUUCCUGCCCACCCUCCACAACCACACGGUGGUUUGAAAUGGUUCCUACCAUUUUCAUUUUCCCUCUAUUACUUCGCCUUCUUCAUUUUCUUUAUAGUGCUUAUAAAAAUUUACCAUAGGGAAAAUUCAGAGUUAUCAAACAUCUAUUAAACAUUCAGUAAGUGCCAAGGUUUUCAGAUUGUGUCAUGACUAAACUUCACAACUGAUCUGUAUUUGGUAGAUGUGAAAACUGAAAUUACCAGGCUAUUAAGUUGUGUAGAGAGACCAUUAACCUGUUUUCCUCCUCCAUGACUUAAGAUCAGGGAAUUAAACAUCCUACGUUUGAAUCUUGCCACAGCUAUUUAUCAACUGUGUGCUUUAUGGAAAAUUAUUUGAACUUUUUGUGUCUCAGGAUCUUCACCUGCCUCAAGCAGUGGUCAUAAGGAUUAGGAAAUAAACCACAAAUAGUGCUCAGAAGAAUAUCCUGUGCUCAAUGCAUGUGGCCAGCUACUGACACAAUUCUGUAGACACUGAAGGUUCCAGAGAGUUCUUUCAAAAGUUCCACAAAUAUUUGACCCAAGCAAUGCUGUUUUUUCCACUAUUUAAAACACUUUGUUAAAAAGAAACUUACACUCAUGCAAUGCAUGCCAUAUUUAACCUAUUUCUUCCUCUAUGUGUGAGUUUGUGUUGUCAGUUAACUUUGUUUUUGUGCUCAGACAUUAAAGCAAAGCUUUUCUUCUUCUUCCUAGUUAAAGAUUCUACGGAGAAUUCAAGCUGAUAAAUACAGUUAUGAUCAUUUUAACGACGUAUCCAUUCAAUCCCCGCAGGAGCCGACCAUGCGAGCCCAUUAAGAGAACAGUUCAGUCCCACCUGCCUCCUGGAGCCAGCCAACAAUCUCAGCUUCAGCACUCCAUGCUUGAUUAUGUACAGCCAUUGCAAUCCUGAGUGGCAGGAUUUGCAAAGACAGCUGUUGGGCUCCACAAACAUUUGGAGGAGGAGGGGGGAAAUGUGAGUUAUAUCAGGGGAAUCCCAAAUGCACAGUGCAUUUAUAUUGGGAGCGAGGUUAUGACAAACUUGGCCUUGACAGUCCUGAGAGAGAACUGUUGAGUGAAUUAAAGUCCACUUGGAGAAAGUGGCUAAUGGAUGCUGACGGACUUGGUCCUUGGUCCCAUACCUGACAAGGGAUCACAAAACCUAGGAGGACAGGUGAGAAAUUGGAGAAGAUAAAAGGAACCGUCAAUAGGUCAAAACGACGAGCUAUUAGCAGACCCAAGACCUCAGUCAAGGCUGGAUGUCAUUGCUAAAAAAAGCUUCCUAAGAAUUUUGCAUUGGUUAUUCAUAUCACAUAUGAAGAAUGUUACUCAUUUUAAGGAAACAAAAUUAAAUAAAAACGUUGAAGAGGGUCUAGAGAAAGUGUCCGGAGAAAGACAUCAGGAGAGUAGAGGGGCUGGAAGCCAAGCAAUAAAAGGCACAGUUGACUAAGUGUAAGUACUUAACAUGAAAAAUAGAAGAUUUGCGUGGAUAGGGGAGAUGUCUUUAAAUAAAGACCUAGCAUGAACUGGAAGCUAUAAGCAAACAGAUUUUAAUCCUAAACAAAUUUCCCAACAAUAGAAGUUUCAUGACAAAGAAAAGAAGAGAAAGCUCCAAAGGACUGAGCUCUUUCCUCAUGAGAAGAACUCAAGCAGAUGCAGUCAGCCAUCCACGAGGGUUGUUCCUGAGUGAAAUUCUGCUUUUGAAGACAUCUGGCCUAGUUGAGGGAUUUUUUUUUUUCUUUCUUUUCUUUCUGUUUUAGCUACGCCAGUGCUAUGCACAAGUUCUCGGGCCAGGGUUCAAACCUUCUCCCCAGUAGCGUCAACAUCAGCUAGGCCACCAAGGAACUCCCCAAGUUGAGGAAUUUUUAAUUUGAGGUCCAUAGGUGAAUGCCAUGAAGUCUUUGAAUCCUUAGAAAUUAUAUGCAAACACACACACACACACACAACACACACACACACACACACACAUAUCAGAUGUCUAUAUUUGAAGUGCCCCCUCCCCUGGGAGAUGGUGCAUGUAUCUCUUCAGAUGCUCAAAGUAGUUCUAUAAAACCUGUGAACCAAAAAAUGGAAUCGCUUCCAAUUCUGCAAUUCUAUUAUUCUGUUUUGCAAAACUAGCCUCACCGUUCACAGAGGUGCUCCCAACAGAAUUAUGUGAUUGAUUUAAUGUUAGGCACAAAGGAGAAUGAACAGUUGGGGAAAACUUUUUAAGGUUUUGAGCCUAGUUACUGAGAAGCUGUUGAUACCAUUGAGAGAUAAAUAAAAGGAAGGUGAAGCAAGAAGUCCAUUAUCAGGGGAAGAUAAUAAGUAGAAAUAAAUGGACAGACUGAAGCCUAAGAUUCUAGUACUAAGCAUACUAAGCGCAUAGUCCAAAAAUUCUUUUACUUCAUGGUAGAAAAAUGCUGAAAGCUAGAGAUGUACAAAUAGAGAAGAAGCUACUUGAAAUGUGGAACGAUGAAAUACUGUAACUCAAACUAGUCUAGAGAUCACUUAUUUCAAACUUUAAUGUUAAAACUUCAGAAACGACAUCUCAGAAAAACUAAGAAAUGUACCCUCUAUCAUGGCACCCUGGAUGCCCAUCCAAGUUCACAUUUACAAAUUUCAGGGGGAAAAAAAUCCAGAUUUAUAAAAUAUUCAAAUCUGGAAUAAAGAUACCACUUAAAAUUUCCAGGGAAGGUUAACCACAUAUGAUACACAAAGGUCCACUCUGUUAUGGUAUAAGGUAAGACCACAACACUGCCACUGCCCCGUAAGAGUUAAAAGAGUUUUAAGUAUGAAUUACACGCUUCAGCAUGCUCUGUGAUGUUUCCAUAGUAUUUUUAACCUUAGUCUUCAUAGUCUGAUUUACCUCAGGAAAAUUACAUGGUUCUUAAACCAUAAAGAACAGAGAAGCACAUGGCUGUGCCAUUCAGUGUUAGUCAAUUAGCCACACAAGUCUUGGGGCUGGGGGCGGGGGGUUAGAUGUUGUUUUUCUGUUUUUAAGAUCAGAGGGAGGGGAGUUCCCGUCGUGGCUCAGUG